rnacentral:rRNA from 1 species
CCUACGGGAGGCUGCAGUGGGGAAUAUUGCACAAUGGGGGGAACCCUGAUGCAGCAACGCCGCGUGGGUGAAGAAGUACUCCGGUAUGUAAAGCCCUGUCAGCAGGGAAGAAAAUGACAGUACCUGACCAAGAAGCCCCGGCUAACUACGUGCCAGCAGCCGCGGUAAUACGUAGGGGGCAAGCGUUAUCCGGAUUUACUGGGUGUAAAGGGAGCGUAGACGGCAAGGCAAGUCUGGAGUGAAAGCCCGUGGCCCCACCACGGGACUGCUUUGGAAACUGUGUUGCUGGAGUGCAGGAGGGGCAGACGGAAUGCCUAGUGUAGCGGUGAAAUGCGUAGAUAUUAGGAGGAACACCAGUGGCGAAGGCGGUCUGCUGGACAGCAACUGACGCUGAGGCGCGAAAGCGUGGGGAGCAAACAGGAUUAGAUACCCGUGUAGUC